UACGAAGGGGGGCUAGCGUUGCUCGGAAUCACUGGGCGUAAAGCGCACGUAGGCGGCUUUUUAAGUCAGGGGUGAAAUCCUGGAGCUCAACUCCAGAACUGCCUUUGAUACUGAGAAGCUUGAGUCCGGGAGAGGUGAGUGGAACUGCGAGUGUAGAGGUGAAAUUCGUAGAUAUUCGCAAGAACACCAGUGGCGAAGGCGGCUCACUGGCCCGAUACUGACGCUGAUGCACGAAAAGCGUGGGGGAGCGAACAGG
rnacentral:rRNA from 1 species